GGUUAAGCGACUAAGCGUACACGGUGGAUGCCCUGGCAGUCAGAGGCGAUGAAGGACGUGCUAAUCUGCGAAAAGCGCCGGCGAGGUGAUAUGAACCUUUGACCCGGCGAUGUCCGAAUGGGGAAACCCAGUGUGUUCCGACACACUAUCGUUAACUGAAUACAUAGGUUAACGAGGCGAACCGGGGGAACUGAAACAUCUAAGUACCCCGAGGAAAAGAAAUCAACCGAGAUUCCCCCAGUAGCGGCGAGCGAACGGGGAGCAGCCCAGAGUCUGAAUCAGCUUGUGUGUUAGUGGAAGCGUCUGGAAAGUCGCACGGUACAGGGUGACAGUCCCGUACACGAAAGCACACAGGUUGUGAACUCGAAGAGUAGGGCGGGACACGUGGUAUCCUGUCUGAAUAUGGGGGGACCAUCCUCCAAGGCUAAAUACUCCUGACUGACCGAUAGUGAACCAGUACCGUGAGGGAAAGGCGAAAAGAACCCCGGCGAGGGGAGUGAAAAAGAACCUGAAACCGUGUACGUACAAGCAGUGGGAGCACCUUCGGGUGUGACUGCGUACCUUUUGUAUAAUGGGUCAGCGACUUAUAUUCUGUAGCAAGGUUAACCGUAUAGGGGAGCCGAAGGGAAACCGAGUCUUAACUGGGCGUUAAGUUGCAGGGUAUAGACCCGAAACCCGGUGAUCUAGCCAUGGGCAGGUUGAAGGUUGGGUAACACUAACUGGAGGACCGAACCGACUAAUGUUGAAAAAUUAGCGGAUGACUUGUGGCUGGGGGUGAAAGGCCAAUCAAACCGGGAGAUAGCUGGUUCUCCCCGAAAGCUAUUUAGGUAGCGCCUCGUGAACUCAUCUUCGGGGGUAGAGCACUGUUUCGGCUAGGGGGCCAUCCCGGCUUACCAACCCGAUGCAAACUACGAAUACCGAAGAAUGUUAUCACGGGAGACACACGGCGGGUGCUAACGUCCGUCGUGAAGAGGGAAACAACCCAGACCGCCAGCUAAGGUCCCAAAGUCAUGGUUAAGUGGGAAACGAUGUGGGAAGGCACAGACAGCCAGGAUGUUGGCUUAGAAGCAGCCAUCAUUUAAAGAAAGCGUAAUAGCUCACUGGUCGAGUCGGCCUGCGCGGAAGAUGUAACGGGGCUAAACCAUGCACCGAAGCUGCGGCAGCGACACUAUGUGUUGUUGGGUAGGGGAGCGUUCUGUAAGCCGUUGAAGGUGGCCUGUGAGGGUUGCUGGAGGUAUCAGAAGUGCGAAUGCUGACAUAAGUAACGAUAAAGCGGGUGAAAAGCCCGCUCGCCGGAAGACCAAGGGUUCCUGUCCAACGUUAAUCGGGGCAGGGUGAGUCGACCCCUAAGGCGAGGCCGAAAGGCGUAGUCGAUGGGAAACAGGUUAAUAUUCCUGUACUUGGUGUUACUGCGAAGGGGGGACGGAGAAGGCUAUGUUAGCCGGGCGACGGUUGUCCCGGUUUAAGCAUGUAGGCGGAACGAUUAGGUAAAUCCGGUCGUUUUUUAACGCUGAGGUGUGAUGACGAGGCACUACGGUGCUGAAGUAACAAAUGCCCUGCUUCCAGGAAAAGCCUCUAAGCAUCAGGUAACAUCAAAUCGUACCCCAAACCGACACAGGUGGUCAGGUAGAGAAUACCAAGGCGCUUGAGAGAACUCGGGUGAAGGAACUAGGCAAAAUGGUGCCGUAACUUCGGGAGAAGGCACGCUGAUAUGUAGGUGAAGCCCCUGCGGGUGGAGCUGAAAUCAGUCGAAGAUACCAGCUGGCUGCAACUGUUUAUUAAAAACACAGCACUGUGCAAACACGAAAGUGGACGUAUACGGUGUGACGCCUGCCCGGUGCCGGAAGGUUAAUUGAUGGGGUUAGCGGCAACGCGAAGCUCUUGAUCGAAGCCCCGGUAAACGGCGGCCGUAACUAUAACGGUCCUAAGGUAGCGAAAUUCCUUGUCGGGUAAGUUCCGACCUGCACGAAUGGCGUAAUGAUGGCCAGGCUGUCUCCACCCGAGACUCAGUGAAAUUGAACUCGCUGUGAAGAUGCAGUGUACCCGCGGCAAGACGGAAAGACCCCGUGAACCUUUACUAUAGCUUGACACUGAACACUGGUCCUUGAUGUGUAGGAUAGGUGGGAGGCUUUGAAGUGUGGACGCCAGUCUGCAUGGAGCCGUCCUUGAAAUACCACCCUUUAAUGGCUGGUGUUCUAACGUAGACCCGUGAUCCGGGUUGCGGACAGUGUCUGGUGGGUAGUUUGACUGGGGCGGUCUCCUCCCAAAGAGUAACGGAGGAGCACGAAGGUUAGCUAAUCCUGGUCGGACAUCAGGAGGUUAGUGCAAUGGCAUAAGCUAGCUUGACUGCGAGAGUGACGGCUCGAGCAGGUGCGAAAGCAGGUCAUAGUGAUCCGGUGGUUCUGAAUGGAAGGGCCAUCGCUCAACGGAUAAAAGGUACUCCGGGGAUAACAGGCUGAUACCGCCCAAGAGUUCAUAUCGACGGCGGUGUUUGGCACCUCGAUGUCGGCUCAUCACAUCCUGGGGCUGAAGUAGGUCCCAAGGGUAUGGCUGUUCGCCAUUUAAAGUGGUACGCGAGCUGGGUUUAGAACGUCGUGAGACAGUUCGGUCCCUAUCUGCCGUGGGCGCUGGAGAAUUGAGGGGGGCUGCUCCUAGUACGAGAGGACCGGAGUGGACGCAUCACUGGUGUUCGGGUUGUCAUGCCAAUGGCACUGCCCGGUAGCUAAAUGCGGAAAAGAUAAGUGCUGAAAGCAUCUAAGCACGAAACUUGCCCCGAGAUGAGUUCUCCCUGAGACUUUAAGUCUCCUGAAGGAACGUUGAAGACGACGACGUUGAUAGGUCGGGUGUGUAAGCGCAGCGAUGCGUUGAGCUAACCGAUACUAAUGAACCGUGAGGCUUAACCUU
rnacentral:rRNA from 1 species